GGGCCCGCACAAGCGGUGGAGUAUGUGGUUUAAUUCGAUGCAACGCGAAGAACCUUACCAGGGUUUGACAUCCUGCGAAUCUCUUGGAAACAGGAGAGUGCCUUCGGGAACGCAGUGACAGGUGGUGCAUGGCUGUCGUCAGCUCGUGUCGUGAGAUGUUGGGUUAAGUCCCGCAACGAGCGCAACCCACGUCGUUAGUUGCCAGCAUUUAGUUGGGCACUCUAGCGAGACCGCCGGUGAUAAACCGGAGGAAGGUGUGGAUGACGUCAAGUCAUCAUGCCCCUUACAUCCUGGGCUACACACGUACUACAAUGCUACGGACAAAGGGCAGCAAACUCGCGAGGACAAGCAAAUCUCAUAAACCGUGGCUCAGUUCAGAUCGUAGGCUGCAACUCGCCUACGUGAAGGAGGAAUCGCUAGUAAUCGCAGGU
rnacentral:rRNA from 1 species